rnacentral:rRNA from 1 species
AAUGACAGUUUCCGCAGCUGUAGAUGGAUGCUUUGGUAGUAUAACCUCUGGUUAUUGUUUCGGAAAGAAACUACCUAUAUGAAGAUGCUCUAAACGCCAAAAA